AGCGAACGCUGGCGGUAGGCCUAACACAUGCAAGUCGAACGGCAGCACAGUAAUAGCUUGCUCUUACGGGUGGCGAGUGGCGGACGGGUGAGUAAUACAUCGGAAUCUACUUUUUCGUGGGGGAUAACGUAGGGAAACUUACGCUAAUACCGCAUACGACCUACGGGUGAAAGCAGGGGAUCUUCGGACCUUGCGCGAUUGAAUGAGCCGAUGUCGGAUUAGCUAGUUGGCGGGGUAAAGGCCCACCAAGGCGACGAUCCGUAGCUGGUCUGAGAGGAUGGUCAGCCACACUGGAAGUGAGACACGGUCCAGACUCCUACGGGAGGCAGCAGUGGGGAAUAUUAGGCAAUGGGCGCGAGCCUGAUCCAGCCAUACCGCGUGAGUGAAGAAGGCCUUCGGGUUGUAAAGCCAUUUUGUUGGGAAAGAAAAACAGCAGGUUAAUACCCCGCUGUUCUGACGGUACCAAAAGAAGAAGCACCGGCUAACUUCGUG
rnacentral:rRNA from 1 species